UCUGGUUGAUCCCGGCAGAGGUCACUGCUAUCGGGGUUCGAUUAAGCCAUGCGAGUCGAGAGGGUUCGGCCCUCGGCGUACUGCUCAGUAACACGUGGAUAACCUGCCCUAGGGAAGGGGAUAACCCCGGGAAACUGGGGAUAAUACCCUAUAGAUUACAGAUGCUGGAAUGCCCUGUAAUCCAAAGUUCCGACGCCCUAGGAUGGAUCUGCGGCCGAUUAGGUUGUUGUUGGGGUAAUGGCCCAACAAGCCCGUAAUCGGUACGGGUUGUGGGAGCAAGAGCCCGGAGUUGGAUUCUGAGACACGAAUCCAGGCCCUACGGGGCGCAGCAGGCGCGAAAACUUUACAAUGCGGGCAACCGUGAUAAGGGAACCUCGAGUGCCUGUAAAUGCAGGCUGUUCAGGUGCCUAAAACACACCUGAAGAAAGGGCCGGGCAAGACCGGUGCCAGCCGCCGCGGUAAUACCGGCGGCUCGAGUGGUGGCCGCUUUUAUUGGGCUUAAAGCGUUCGUAGCUGGGUUGUUAAGUCUCUUGGGAAAUCUGGCGGCUUAACCGUCAGGCGUCUAAGGGAUACUGGCAAUCUUGGAACCGGGAGAGGUGAGGGGUACUUCGGGGGUAGGAGUGAAAUCCUGUAAUCCUCGAGGGACCACCUGUGGCGAAGGCGCCUCACCAGAACGGCUUCGACAGUGAGGGACGAAAGCUGGGGGAGCAAACCGGAUUAGAUACCCGGGUAGUCCCAGCCGUAAACUAUGCGCGUUAGGUGUAUCGGUGACCACGAGUUACCGAGGUGCCGAAGGGAAACCGUGAAACGUGCCGCCUGGGAAGUACGGUCGCAAGGCUGAAACUUAAAGGAAUUGGCGGGGGAGCACCACAACAGGUGGAGCCUGCGGUUUAAUUGGACUCAACGCCGGGAAGCUCACCGGAUAAGACAGCAGAAUGAUUGCCGGGCUGAAGACUCUGCAUGACUAGCUGAGAGGAGGUGCAUGGCCGUCGUCAGUUCGUACUGUGAAGCAUCCUGUUAAGUCAGGCAACGAGCGAGACCCA
rnacentral:rRNA from 1 species